rnacentral:rRNA from 1 species
UACGUAGGGACCAAGCGUUGUUCGGAUUUACUGGGCGUAAAGGGCGCGUAGGCGGCAUGACAAGUCACUUGUGAAAUCUCCGGGCUUAACUCGGAACGGCCAAGUGAUACUGUCAAGCUAGAGUGCGGAAGGGGCAAUCGGAAUUCUUGGUGUAGCGGUGAAAUGCGUAGAUAUCAAGAGGAACACCUGAGGUGAAGACGGGUUGCUGGGCUGACACUGACGCUGGAAGCGCGGAAAGCUAGGGGAGCAAACGGG